rnacentral:rRNA from 1 species
CCUACGGGAGGCAGCAGUGAGGAAUAUUGGUCAAUGGACGCAAGUCUGAACCAGCCAUGCCGCGUGCAGGAAGACGGCUCUAUGAGUUGUAAACUGCUUUUGUACGAGGGUAAACGCAGAUACGCGUAUCUGUCUGAAAGUAUCGUACGAAUAAGGAUCGGCUAACUCCGUGCCAGCAGCCGCGGUAAUACGGAGGAUUCAAGCGUUAUCCGGAUUUAUUGGGUUUAACGGGUGCGUAGGCGGUCGGAUAAGUUAGAGGUGAAAUCCCGAGGCUCAACUUCGGAAUUGCCUUGGAUACUGGUAGGCUAGAGAGUAGUUGCGGUAGGCGGAAUGUAUGGUGUAGCGGUGAAAUGCUUAGAGAUCAUACAGAACACCGAUUGCGAAGGCAGCUUACCAGGCUACUUCUGACGUUGAGGCACGAAAGCGUGGGGAGCAAACAGGAUUAGAUACCCCAGUAGUC